GGAUGGGUGACCUCCUGGGAAGUCCUCGUGUUGCACCCCUGCAAUAGGCUACUCUCGAGAAGAGAAAUUUAGUCGCUUCAA
rnacentral:rRNA from 1 species